rnacentral:RNase_P_RNA from 1 species
CGAGGGGACCGGACGGUCGCUGGCCUGCCCACUGGGCAGACGAGAGGAAAGUCCGGGCUCCGCAGGACAGGGUGGUCGGUAACGCCGACCGGCCGUGAGGCCAGGGAAAGUGCCACAGAAAGCAAACCGCCUCGCGCGGCCCCACCGGGAAUCGCGCGCGGUAAGGGUGAAACGGUGAGGUAAGAGCUCACCAGCAGUCGAGGCGACUCGACUGGCUCGGCAAACCCCACCCGGAGCAAAGCCAAGCAGGGAGCAGGCGGACCGGUAGCGGUCCGCCGCGGGCCGGUCCGGCCCGCGAUCGACUCCCGGGUCGGCCGCUUGAGGCGUCGAGCAAUCGGCGCCCUAGAUAAAUGACCGUCCGCUGCAGAAUGGCACCCGUGCCAGCCCGCAGCGACAGAACCCGGCUUACAGGUCCCCUCGGUCU